rnacentral:sRNA from 1 species
AUGGGAUCUCAUAAAACUGCAAAGCUUCUGUAAGGCAAAGGACACUGUGGAUAGCAUGUCUUUAAUCUCAGGUCUGGUAGCAGAGACAGGCGGCUCUGGACUCAUUGGCCAGGCAACCUAAGAGCCAAUGAGCUCUAGACCAAUGAGCAUGCGAUUUCAAAGCAGAAAGGUAACAUUUCUGAGUGUGAUGCCCAAGGCUGUCUUCAGGCUGUCACAUUCACAAAUACACAAAUGUAUGCAUACCUGCACACACAUGAACACAUGUAUAUGACAUGCAUAUAAAUAAGAAUUUGAAAAUAAUUAAACUCAUGAAAACGUAUGUAAUUUAGAAAAACUGGGCAGUCUAGGGAGACUAUCACUGUAAUACAGAAUCUCUUCAUUACGUUUUUUUCCCCCUCUGAAGUCAUACGCCAUCAAGAGCAAUUGACUAAGUUUCCAGUUUUGAGCAUUUUCUUUUCAUUCUGUCAGGAAUAUUAUACACCAACACACAUUUUUUAUGCCUCCGGACAGCUUCUUUAUGAUUUCCCAUGUUUUGUGGAGAUUGUUACCAUAACCACAUUGCAUUUGUUACAAACAGGAACUACAUUAGAACAGGUAUUAGACCGGAUUCCACCUCACUAGUGAGGGUAAGUAACUCCACACUAUAAAUAAGUUGGGUUAAUGUGUGAAUGAUGCGUUACCUGGGCCUGCAGCUGCCCAGGUGUUUCUUUAAGGGGUCUGCGAAGGAAGGGAAUAAACGUGCUGUGCAGAGGAUAGGAAAAUUAUUAUCAUCUGCUUUCCGAAAUUGAAGGAGAAUUUUAGCUCAGCAGAAACCUCUUGACUGCAAAAGUCUGAAAUUGCAUCCUGCUGGUAAGAAUGCCCGUUCGGGGUGGUGGGAAUUUGAACAUCCCUUUUUGCUUCAAAUCACGUAAAUGUUAUGAGUUUGGAAUGGAAGAAUGCUAUCUCUUCUUUGCAAAAGGAGAAGUGGCUUGUGACCCCUUAUGCCAACACUGAAGAGCAAAUUCCGAUUAGGAAAGUACUUCCUUUUUGCUUAAUAAGUAAUUUUAAUAGUUAUUUUUAAGGGAGAAAUCUUUGUCUUUGACAUAAACUUGAAUUCAAGUAUUUUAUUUUAACAUAGGAUAUUGCUUUCUAGACUUAAUUCACCAGUUGGACUUUCUGCUUAGUGGGACAUUUUUGGAAGUUAAGCUUAUUUUCAGGACAAAUGCUUUUGGUUAUUCAUAAAAAUUCUGUUCAUUCAUGAUUCUAUACUUCUGCUUUACAUCCCAUCAGGCUUCCUUAGUCUCUGCGUCUUUUUGGUUAAUACUUUGGGGGCCUGCAUUUUAGCUUUUCCUGAAUCUAAUAUUUUAAACUCAGAAUUGUUUGUUUCACUGCCUUUGUCUAUUUUUCCACUUUUGUCUUCUCCAAGUAACUUGCUGUGCAUUGCAUUCCUAUGUUUUGCACUGUAGUCUAAUGUGCAAAACACUCUGUUUAAAAAAAAAGAAUAAGCAAUUUUUUUCAUUUACUGAUAUUGAAGAGAGAUGUGUUUUCUUCUUAGGAUUUUGAAAAGUUUGUUUUCCUUGAGCAGGAUAUAUGUAGCUUUGAAAAUUAUGUAUCACUCAGGAGGCAGAGGCAGAUGAAUGCAUGGGUUCCAGGUUGGCCAGGGCUACACAGAGAAACCCUGUCUCAAAAACAAAAUUAAAGGAAAAGAAAAGGAGAGAGAAAAUAGUUUACAGUGAGUGAUGCUUCUCUUAACUUCAUAUGGUAACCUGAUCUCUUGGGACAUGAGAAUGCUUGUUAUACCCCUAUGAACAGAUGGAGAAAAUGGUGUAUAUUUUUCUCUUCCAUUUUUUUCCAGAUAAAAAUUCAACAAUACCAAUUCUAUUCUUCUCGUUUUAUUUCUAUAUUUCUUUUAUUUCUUUGGAAACACAACGUCAUGAAGGGGAGGAUGGCUUUGAACUCUCACUGGUAGCCUCUCCUACCUCCACCUCUUAAGUGGUGGUGUUAAAGGCAUGAACCACCACUUUAGGCUCCAACACAACUUACGAUAUUCUUACAUUCUUCCACAUUCCUGCAUUGCUUAUACUUGUAUAAUUUGAUUUGGUAUAUUUAAAUGACAUCUCCUGAUUUUCAGGCAUUGAGAAGAAAGCUACCCUCUGUACACUCAAAACACUUUGUAUUACAUCCUAUGUUUUUGUUAGUCAUUUCGAUUCUGUACUUUAAUGACAUCAUACUUCAUAUUCGAGUCUGUCAUUGGAUUUAUCUCCCUAGUUGAAGGCACCCAGUGCUCACAAUCAAUCCUUUUGUGUUUUUAUCAACAAUCAGUUUUUUUUCCACCUUUAGUGGCUGUUUCCGAAAGGGCUUAUGAUGAUAUUGUUGCCAGAGAGUCUGCACGGGCAGGAUAUUUGCUUCCAAAUUUUAUGUGUUAGGAGCUGGCUCAACUGGUCAUCAAAUCAGUGAUUCCCACAAAGCUGGGAUAGGAAUUAUUCCAGGACACCCUCUACAUGGUUAGAUAAGGCCUCUUAAAUAUUUCCCUUCUCCAAGAUAAAAGCAAUGAGCCACAGACGAAAACUUCUAAACAGCAGUAUGACUCCAGCCUCAUGGGCUUAACAUUCUGUCCAGUUAGUACAGGACACACACUGUACCAGCUGUCCCUGCACUCUCCCCACGGCCUGUAGAGCUAUCAUUUAGGAAUGUUUAGGGAUGGAAAGGGCCGCUGAGAUAUCCAAUGCAAAGGUAUUAUUUUAGGCUGAAGAAAAGGAAUGGGAAGGAACUGGAAGAAGGAAAGAGGGUUAUUUUCCUUUGGUUGUUUUUUGGUUUUGUAUCUUAUGGCUAAGCCACUACUAGUAAGCUGUUAAGCUUUGUACCGCAGUGAGAUCCAUGAAAGGACCCUUUCUACUUCCUCUGUCCUCUAGAAAUUCCAUGGGCAGAAGUGUGUCACUGCAAGUAAGAGGGCAUAGCAGGUGCCUGACACAUGGGAGAGUUCACCGUGUCUGAUAGCUCUUGUUAUUUUCCACAUUCUACCUAUGGAAUGGCACGCAGGUGGCGGGAUUCUGCUUUUCAGUGGGGUUUGUUGUUAACUACAUACGCAGCCAUUUUAUUUUCUGUUUCUUUUUAGAAUGAGAUUUUUUUUGAAUAUUUAAUUAUUCAUUUGUGCACAUGAAUAUGGGUGCUUGGGGAGGCCAAAGGUUUCAGAUCACCUACAGUUGGAGUUACAGGUGGUCGUGAGCCACCUAUGAGGGGGUGAGGAAUCAAACUCUUACAUCAUUUUGAGACGCCACUAGCUUGUGCUCAAGGUAUAGGCCAGAUUCUUUGUUCAAUACACACAUUUGGCCCAAAAAAUUCAUUAACAAAUGUUGCCAUUAAACUCAGGAGGUAAUUACUUUGGAUACAUAUGGAAUGAACAAAAUCCUAGGCCAACUGCAGGUGGAAGAAAUAAGGUUGAAGCUAGCCAUGUGUUAUACAAGAGACUUAAGAACAAAGACAUCAACAGCAGUGCAACAAACACACAGUUAUCCUCCAAAUGGAAGAAUCAAUACAGUUAGCAAAUUCCAGAAAGCAUGUCGGAGUUAUCUAAUACUGGCAAUGAGGAGCAUUUCCAAGGAAUUGGUUAUUAGAUCUGAAAUUAGUAAUGUGUAAUAAAGAGAGAUGCAUGCCGAAUUUUGUUCUCCUGUAACAGCACAGUUGAAGGGUUGCAUCUAAAAAUCUAUUCAACUUAACUACUAUUCCCAUGCUCAAUAAUGAAAUAUAGUUUCAGAUACAAGACUUUGCUUGAGACUACUUUAGACAACAAUCAUAGAUCUGUCAUGUCAAUGUUUUUCAAUUUAAUUUUUCUAAUAGUCUGGAUGGUUAGCCUAUGUGCACCAUGUGAAUACAGUGUAUAUGGAGGUUGGAAGAGAGACAUCAGUCUUUCUGGAACCAGAGUUUGAGGCUGCCGUGAGGUGCCAUAUAUGCUAAGAAUCAAACUCACAUCCUUACAAAGAAUAGUCAGUGCUCUUAUCCACGGAGCAAUUUCCUCAGCUCCUCCCACACCUUUCUAAAAUGUCAAAUUUUUUCAGAUAAGUAAAUACAUUUUUUUAGGCUUUUAAAAUAUUUUCAGCUUAUAUUAAGGAUGGAGCUUUUAGUGGACUCAGAGAGUAUUAUGCUAAGCAAAAUAAAAAGAUUCUGAAGGACAAAUUUUGGAGGAGUUCUACCAUAUAUUAAUGUGGAACGUUUUAAGGCAGAAAAAGAGAAGGGGGACCAUAUGGGAGGAAGAAGGAACCACACAGGUGAGUCAAGUCAAGAUGAAGCCUGUCAGAGGUGAAUAGGAUCAGAGGGCUCUCAAUGUGUGAGUAAAAUGUCACCAGUUAUUCUAAUAAAUAACAUACGCUAAUAAUAACACCUCAGUUAGAAAUCGUGUCAGAUGAUGAUAACUAUCGGAAUUAUUUUGAUUAAGUAAUAUUCUUAUUCUAUUUGACUAUCUCCUGAUGCAUUUCCAGCUUAAAAAAAUAAAAGACAAUAGGACCACGUUGAAUGAUAGUUUAAUAACUUUCUGUAUUUACUUAUAUAGAUUGUGAAUAUUUUUUAUGCUGGUAAUUUUUAUGUAUACAUUGACUUCUCAACAUGUUGAGACCAAUAAGCUUAUUUUAAUAUCUUUAUAUGUUUCAUGAAUUUCUUAUUACACGUGAUCAUAAUCAUUGCAAAAUAGGUGGUGUAUUUCUUCAUGGUCAGUCACAUCCGGCCAGGUGGUUGUUUCCUGUUCUUCCUGUUGGACUUUUAUUCUCCAGGUUAGAAAGAGAAAAGGAAUCCUAAGGGGACCAGGUCUUGGGAGCUCAAUUGAGCCUUCCUCCUCUCAGAUUUUAUGCUGCUGUGAUUCCAUAACAUUUCUGCCAUUUAAUUUCUCUUCAUAUAUUGCUGAGCAUUGCACCUGUCUCAUACAGGGUCCUGAGAUCGUGUUGGAACUGUGAUUUAAGAACAGAGUCUGAUAAAUAUGCUUAUGAUAGUAAGGUAAUUCACCUGAAGACAUGAUUCUGCUUGCCCUCACCUGCUCCACUGCUAGGAAAGAAGAGGAAGAAGUAAGGAAAAAGGAACAAGAAGACUCGUGACUCUGUAGAAUGUCCAGGGUUUAAGUGAUGAAGAAGAAAAUUUAAACGUGAGCUUGAAGAAGAAUGAGAAAAUUGCUAUGUUAAAACUUCGUGAUUUAAUGCUUUAAUGACCUGUGUCCUGAACAGGAGCUAUGAGACAGAGAUGGAUGACCAAACCCUCUGGUUCUUCCUAUGCACUGUGAGUUAUACUUAGUGCACUACGGCAAGUCAGGACCAUCAUCUGCAACAAUGACUUGGAAUGCAGCCAGCCCGGUGCAUAGAUUGCGACACUGCAGUUCUGAAGAUAAGAAGAGGUGACAAUGGAAUACCUGAGCAUAGGUAGUUUGAUGAGGUGAUAUGGAGACAGUCACAAGCCGGGAGGAUAUACACACCUCUACAGUAUGCUGCGGGACCGUGUCAGUGGGCACUGACACGGAGAAAAAUGGACUGCUGGGAACAGAAGGAGUCUGGCAGACUGCUUGGACAUGGCACAGUCAGAGAAAGCAGCCUCAUGUCAAGGCAAACUAUCAAGCAAUCCUGAUGAAGAGUAGACUCCCAGAAUCCUGGCUUCUUAGCCCUCCAUCCUAAGCCAAGAGAAACAAGGCAAUCGCCAUGCUUACAUUGGAGAAAGAAAGCAGGCACGUGCCAUCGGAGUCAGAUGAGGUGGCUUUAUAUUGAUGUAUGUCUCUGUAGAUGGGGCCCUGCAGUUAGUUUUUAGCAAGUUUUGUUGUCCUGUGGGCAGUGGUAAUGGACCUGGCUAUAUCUGCAGGCUUCACACGUAGGCACACUGAUAAACACCAAUAGAGUUUUUGCUCCUAAUAACGCCUAAAAUUCCUCUAUGUGACAGUGCACAGACUGUUCGAUAUAUGCACUAUGGUAUACUCUGUUAAUAAAAUGUCUUAAUAUAAGUUUUCAGGAAGAGUACUUUUCCAGCAUUCAAUUAUUUCUAUGAUUACUGGCAAAGGAAAACACUGCAGAGGGCUGUAUUUACGAACUAAAUCACCAAGGAGGUUAGUGACGGCUUGCAGGCUUAGUCAGAUGAGUCUUGUAAUUUUUCAGAUGUUGCUGCUUAAAUCACAGUGUUUUUAAGAGGCUCAAAAGUGAUGUUAGAUAUAGGCGUGACUUGUAAUCCAUCAUCACCACACACCCAUAGAACAAGCUUUAAAGGGUAAUCAAGAGGGCUUUCCACAAGUGUUCAUGGCAGAAUUACUAUACUCUCGCUUCUACUCUUCUGGGCUUUAAAAGACUAUGAUAUGCUUCAUGUACAAUCACUUAAACUAAGGCAAAUAAAAAGUGGCUUUAAUGAUAAGUUACCCAGCUGCAUUUCCAUUAAGGGAACAAAGGGGUACCCCAACACCAUGGCUGACUCCUUAUUUAUAGCUUCCGGAAUGUCAUCUUCCUACUCAAAGCUAAAAUCUUCCCUGGUUAGCUGAUUUAGACCCUGAUGCAUCUGAAAAUGACAAGACUUACAUGACUAAGCCUACAAGCCUUUUGUAACUCUCCUGGCGAUUUAGUUCAUGGAAUACUGAACAGUAAGGCUGGCCAUCCUUUAUUAACUGCAGUGACUACAAAGGACACAGCAGUGGCUUUGCUCUGCACCUUCAGAGAGCCAACACCGCCUUUCUAGCCCAUCACUGCUUCAUGUCGAUAAGCAAAACCCCAGCAAGAACUCUGAACAGAGAAGUAACUCACUUGUUCCUCCUUCAGAGCCUGGUUUUGUUUGAUUUCAUAGUCAGAAGGAGAGCAGGAAGAGGCGACUAAACAAAGUUUCCUCCUUUCCUAAUGUUAUUUCGUUUUUAAUCAAAGUUCCUGUCCCAGUGAAGUCAUCUUCAUGUGUUUCCUCCUUAAUUUUGUUUCCCUUCCCAUCCGCGUGGAAUUGGUAAUGCACUCAACUGUGAGUUAUUGACUCUCAUCUUUCAAAAUGUCUGCCGCAGUGAGUGGAGUCCCUCCUGUCAUUACUCUUGCUGCAGCCAUUAGAUGUUCAGCUCUGGUGAAUUAAACACAAGGAGCCACAUGAGAGAACACUCUGUUUCCUGGUAGAGGUGUCAGUCUGAAUUGGGGACACCAGCUAUCCGGACAGUGUGCAAAGCAGAUGGCCAUCAAUAAAGGAAGCUGUGCUUUACCUGUUUCUUUUGAUGACCACCUGCAAACGGGGGAUCUUCCUGAGAGGAGACAGAUAAAGGAUGUGAAAUUUCAAAGAGCAGCGGAUGACUGAAUUUGAAAUGAGAUUCCCAUCCAAAGUGUCAGGGCAAUUGGCAGAAAUGCGACUUGGAAGACAUCUGCAGAUUGCAGUUUAUAAAUCUUGCAAUUGCAGAGUAUCGAGGCACAUGUCCCGUAGAUAGAAGGAUCCACCAGACUCUUCUUAAAAUUCCUCUGGGUCAGAACCAAUGGAGAAUCACCCAGGGUUUAGGACCCCUUUCUGCUGUUACCCACUUUUGCCCCCUUCCUUGAACAUGGAUGCUUGGUAUCCUAUCCUUUAAAAUCUGUUUUCUCCUGGUUGUUUACCCUGGAUAACACUGUGGAUGUUAGUAUAAAUAACAUUUACCAGAGCUACAAACUUUAAUGUUUUAAUGUUCGCUUAGUUUAUUUUUAAACGCCAACAGAAAGUGUUCUGGCUAGUUUUUUUGUUAGCUUGGAAACAGCUUUAGUCAACUGAGGAGAAGGAACCCCAAUUGAGAAACUGCCUCCAAGUAAGGCUCUAGGCAGGCCAUUCUUAUAUUUUUGGUUGUGAGCCUAGCCUUUAACGGCUGAGCCAUCUCUCCAGCCCCAUUAGGAUAUUUUCUUAAUUAGUGAUUUGGGAGGGGGCAAGCCUGUUGUGGAUUUGGCCUUCCUUACGCUGGUGGUCCUGAGUACUAUAAGAAAGCAGGUCUAGCAAGCCACAAGGAACAAGCCA